GAUGAAGGAGACGACGUUUUCCUGUGUGAAUAUGAGUAUGAUGUAUGUUGGCACAGUUUCAAACGCAUUGCAGAAAUC